rnacentral:lncRNA from 1 species
GGUUGCUGCCCCUGAAUUAGUAAUUUUAAGGAAAUUUUGCUGUUUUUGGUUAUUAUCUUGAAUAUUAUUAUAGAUAGAGAUAAACUGAAAAUUGCAAUAAUGUUCAGCAAAGUAAUAUUUACAAAUAAGUCAACAUGACCGAAAUGGUCAGUUGACCCCUUUAGGAGUUAUUGCCCUUUAUAGUCAAUUUUUAACCAUUUUUCGUAAAUCUUAGUAAUCUUUUACAAAAAUCUUCUCCUCUGAAACUACUUGGCCAAAUCAAUCCAAACUUGGCCACAACCAUCUUUGGGGUAUGUAGUUUGAAAAAUGUGUCCAGUGACCCAGCCAUCCAAUCAAGAUGGCCACCAUGGCUAAAAAUAGAACCUUGGGUAAAAUGCAGUUUUUGGCUUAUAACUCAAAAACCAAAGUAUUUAGAGUAAAUCUGACAUGAGGUAAAUUUGUUUAUCAGGUCAAGAUCUACCUGCCCUGAAAUUUUCAGAUGAAUUGGACAACCCGGUUUUGGGUUGCUGCCCCA